AGGGUCCAACACAGACAAGGCCGACCACUCCACCGGAUGAAAGCCUUGUCAGAGCAAACCUGUAGAAUAUGACAGAAUUGAAAUACUACAGAGGAAGAU